rnacentral:rRNA from 1 species
UACGGAGGGUGCAAGCGUUAAUCGGAAUUACUGGGCGUAAAGCGCGCGUAGGCGGCUGGAUAAGUCGAUUGUGAAAGCCCCGGGCUCAACCUGGGAAUUGCAGUCGAGACUGUUCGGCUAGAGUGUGGGAGAGGGUGGUGGAAUUCCCGGUGUAGCGGUGAAAUGCGUAGAUAUCGGGAGGAACAUCAGUGGCGAAGGCGGCUCACUGGACCGGAACUGACGCUGAGGCGCGAAAGCGUGGGGAGCAAACGGG